UAACUUCUCCUCCACCAAAGUCAAAUCUGACCGCUUGGGCUCGCCUUCAAAAUGUUUUGUCAACACAUAUUUCUUGGUGAUCACCAUUGUCUGUGAAAAUUACUGUUGAAAAGUUCGAACCGAUCUAUCCAAUACAGACAUUGCUGCCUCAGUCUGAGCAGUGCUUGCCGACUGUUCCUAUACCAAACAGGAUUCGCGAGACGUUCGACGUGCCUCAAAAUUUCCCUGCACAAAAGUAGAUUUCUUUAAAUAAUGAUGGAGGUGGUGUUUGGGUUACUGCAUGAUCUGGUACCCAACUUCGAGGAGGCUCCGAAUCAGCAAUACUAAGUUGUGAUAAGCGUUCAUCCAAACUGUACAUCUAUAGCAAAAGUGGAGCACUAAAG